rnacentral:rRNA from 1 species
GACGAACGCUGGCGGCGUGCCUAAUACAUGCAAGUCGAGCGGACUUUCAAGAAGCUUGCUUUUUGAAAGUUAGCGGCGGACGGGUGAGUAACACGUGGGCAACCUGCCUGCAAGACGGGGAUAACUCCGGGAAACCGGGGCUAAUACCGGAUAAUAUCUUCCUUCGCAUGAAGGAAGGUUGAAAGGCGGCGCAAGCUGCCGCUUGCAGAUGGGCCCGCGGCGCAUUAGCUAGUUGGUGAGGUAACGGCUCACCAAGGCGACGAUGCGUAGCCGACCUGAGAGGUUGAUGGGCCACACUGGGACUGAGACACGACCCAGACUCCUACGGGAGGCAGCAGUAGGGAAUCUUCCGCAAUGGACGAAAGUCUGACGGAGCAACGCCGCGUGAGCGAAGAAGGUCUUCGGAUCGUAAAGCUCUGUUGUCAGGGAAGAACAAGUACCGUUCGAACAGGGCGGUACCUUGACGGUACCUGACCAGAAAGCCACGGCUAACUCCGUG